rnacentral:rRNA from 1 species
GAUGAACGCUAGCGGCAGGCCUAACACAUGCAAGUCGAGGGGUAAGAAGAGCUUGCUUUUCUGAGACCGGCGCACGGGUGCGUAACGCGUAUACAAUCUACCUUGUACAGGGGGAUAGCCCAGAGAAAUUUGGAUUAAUACCUCAUAGUGUUAUUGAGUGGCAUCACUUGAUAACUAAAGUUCCAACGGUACAAGAUGAGUAUGCGUCCCAUUAGUUAGAUGGUAAGGUAACGGCUUACCAUGACAAUGAUGGGUAGGGGUCCUGAGAGGGAGAUCCCCCACACUGGUACUGAGACACGGACCAGACUCCUACGGGAGGCAGCAGUGAGGAAUAUUGGACAAUGGGGGCAACCCUGAUCCAGCCAUGCCGCGUGCAGGAUGACGGUCCUAUGGAUUGUAAACUGCUUUUAUACAGGAAGAACCCCUUCUUUGCGAAGAAGACUGACGGUACUGUAAGAAUAAGGAUCGGCUAACUCCGUGCCAGCAGCCGCGGUAAAAC